rnacentral:rRNA from 1 species
AUGCGAGAACAGUGUUCCGUACAAAAAAUUGAGCAAUGUUCGAUGUUGAUGUUGCGCACGAAUAAAUGGGCCUCAGCACUGUUUUUAGCUCAAUCAGACCCUGAACUACAGGCAGAGUCUCCCCGCAAAACAAACAAACAAAUAAACAGGAAGAACUAUCGACAAAGGUUGUCACGAGCGGCAAUAUCUUGUCUUCGUCGCGUGCGCGCGACAGGUCCAAUGUUACAGCUUACAUCAAGAGAAGGAGGAAUUGAAUGUGAUGUCGCCAGAGGCAGGAUCGAAGGAGGCCUCCACGAGCGCAGCCGACUCGGCUGGGUUCACUUCCACAGGCUUACUCAGGAGCUGCACGCCUUGCUUCCAGUAUCUGCUAUCUGA